rnacentral:misc_RNA from 1 species
AUAACAAUUCAUGGGUACAAAAAUUUAAGAAAUUUGCAUGAAAACUAAAGUUCUUGUAUCGUAAUUUACCUAGAUCCAAGAAACAAUAACUACCAAUUCUUUCAGCUCAGAAAGUUUGCUCUCUGAACAAUAUAGCAUUAAAUAUUUCUGGAUCCGUCCGCACAUCACAGUGUACAGUGUACAGCCUUUAACAGGGAUCUUUAUGGAAGGUCCUGACUUUCUGGACUAAAACCAGAAUAGUACAGUCAAUCUUGAUUCAGAUGAUUGCUCGCUUCAACUCCACAAUUCCAGUUGCUUGCAUCAAACUCAAUGUAAAUUCCAGUUGCUUGCGUCAAACUCCAUGUAAUAUAAUCUGCAACCUCAACUACCAUGCCUCCA